UGGUUCUUCUUGGGCACUUGGAGGCGCUCCCGGAAAUCAUCUUCCAUGAGCACCAAGCCAUCACGCAGAACGAUCUUGGGCUCCCACCCCAAAACUUCCUUUGCCUUUGUAAUGUCUGGCUUCCUCUGACGAGGAUCAUCAGGAGUGUUCUCAGUCAUUGUGACGGUAACCUCUGGGUUGAUCAACUGCAAGAGAAAAAUCAAACGAAUGCAGAGGUAAAUCUACCUGGGUUUCCCAAAUUAAUUGGUCCAGUGUUGUCCCCGUUCAUCAGCUUAAUAAGACCAUUAACCUGCAUUAAAAUGGUACCAGUGAUGAUGUGAUGCAAUGAUAUAUCAAAAAGUUCAGCGAGCAUUACCGUACGGCCUGAGCAAUGAAGUUACUAACAACACGCCCAUCAUCAAUGUUCAUCCUAGGUCCAUAGGUGUUGAAAAUCCUGGCAAUUCGGAUCUCUACAGAGAUAGAUUGGAAAAUACUUAUUAAGGAGAACUACAAUCCAUGUAUUUGUGAUAGAACAGACGUACCAAUUGGGUUAACAUUUCCCCAGUAGGCCUCUGUUUGAGGGUGCUCAAGCGGAUCACCGUAAACUUCAGAGGUCGAAGUCAACAAAAUCCUGCACUCCAACUCUCUUGGCAAGUCCAAGCAUGUUCAGGGUUCCGAUAACGUUUGUCUUGAUGACUGUACCUUGACAGGGUUGUGCUUGUAGAAGAUUGGUGAAGCAGGGCAAGCAAGGUGAUAGAUUUGGUCAACCUCCACAAGCAGGGGCUGGGUGACAUC
rnacentral:sRNA from 1 species